GGCCCUUCGAGGCGCGCAGCGAGUUCGAGCAGAUGACGAUCCUCUACGACAUCUGGAACGCGGGGCUGGAUGCCGAGGACAUGCACUUCCUGCGGCUCACCUACGAGCGCCUGCUGCAGGAGGACAACAGCACCGACUGGCUCAACGACACCCACUGGGUGCACCACACCGAUAUCCCUGUGCCGGGGCGGAUGGGGAGGCCGGGGGGCGUCGGGAGACGGGGCGCCGGGAUGUCUGGGUCUUGGAGGGUGGAGACGUCCAGGCGUUGAGAGACUGGGGUGUCCAGGUGUCGGGACAUGGGGCGCCGGGAUGUCCGGGUCUUGGAGGGUGGAGACGUCCAGGUGUUGGGGAUAUGGAGGACUGGGAUGUUCAGGUCUUGGAGAAUUGGGGUGUCCAGGUGUUGGAGACCUGGGGUGUUUGGGUGUCGAGAUGCUCAGGUGUUGGAGAAUGGAGACAUCCAGGUGUUGGAGGCGUGUGGUGUCCAGGUGUUGGGGAUAUGGAGGAUUGGGUUGUCCAGGUGUUGGAGGCCUGCGGUGUCAAGAUGUCAGGAGAUGGGGUGUCGGGAUGUUUGGGUCUUGGAGGAUGGAGACGUCCAGGUGUUGAGGGACUGGGGUGUCCGGGUGUCGGGAGACGGGGCGUCAGGAUGUUCAGGUGUUGGAGGACUGGGUUGUCCAGGUGUUGGGGAUAUGGAAGAUUGGGAUGUUCAGGUCUUGGAGAAUGGAGACGUCCAGGUGUUGAGAGACUGGGGUGUCCGGGUGUUGGGGAUAUGGAGGACUGGGAUUGUCAGGUCUUGGAAAAUGAUGGCGUCCGGGUGUUUGCGGAUGGGUCUCUGGGUGUUUGUAGACAGGGUUUCUGGGUGCUGGGGGAUGGAGGUGUCUGGGCGUUGGGGGAUGGAGGUGUCCGGGUGUUUGGGGACAAGGUGUCCGGGCGUUGGGGGAUGGAGGUGUGCAGGUGUUUUGGGGACGAGGUGUCUGGGCGUUGGGGGAUGGAGGUGUCCGGGUGUUUGGGGA
rnacentral:lncRNA from 1 species